rnacentral:rRNA from 1 species
AACGACUCUCGGCAACGGAUAUCCCGGCUCUCGCAUCGAUGAAGAACGUAGCGAAAUGCGAUACUUGGUGUGAAUUGCAGAAUCCCGUGAACCAUCGAGUCUUUGAACGCAAGUUGCGCCCAAAGCCUUCCGGCCGAGGGCACGUCUGCCUGGGCGUCACGC